rnacentral:tRNA from 1 species
GCCGCUCUAUCCCAACUGGCAGAGGAGCCGGACUUAAAAUCCGGAAGUUCGGGGUUCGAGUCCCCGGAGCGGCACCA